AGUGAACGCUGGCGGUAGGCCUAACACAUGCAAGUCGAACGGCAGCACAGUAAGAGCUUGCUCUUACGGGUGGCGAGUGGCGGACGGGUGAGGAAUACAUCGGAAUCUACUUUUUCGUGGGGGAUAACGUAGGGAAACUUACGCUAAUACCGCAUACGACCUACGGGUGAAAGCAGGGGAUCUUCGGACCUUGCGCGAUUGAAUGAGCCGAUGUCGGAUUAGCUAGUUGGCGGGGUAAAGGCCCACCAAGGCGACGAUCCGUAGCUGGUCUGAGAGGAUGAUCGGCCACACUGGAACUGAGACACGGUCCAGACUCCUACGGGAGGCAGCAGUGGGGAAUAUUGGACAAUGGGCGCAAGCCUGAUCCAGCCAUACCGCGUGGGUGAAGAAGGCCUUCGGGUUGUAAAGCCCUUCUGUUGGGAAAGAAAAGCAGCAGGUGAAUACCCCGCUGUUCUGACGGUACCCAAAGAAUAAGCACCGGCUAACUUCGUG
rnacentral:rRNA from 1 species